ACUCCUACGGGAGGCAGCAGUGGGGAAUAUUGCACAAUGGGCGCAAGCCUGAUGCAGCCAUGCCGCGUGUAUGAAGAAGGCCUUCGGGUUGUAAAGUACUUUCAGCAGUGAGGAAGGUGGAGUCGUUAAUAGCGGCCCUUAUUGUAUGCUUGCAGAAGAAGCACCGGCUAACUCCGUGCCAGCAGCCGCGGUAAUACGGAGGGUGCGAGCGUUAAUCGGAAUUACUGGGCGUAAAGCGCAUGCAGGUGGUUUGUUAAGUCAGAUGUGAAAGCCCGGGGCUCAACCUCGGAAUAGCAUUUGAAACUGGCAGACUAGAGUACUGGUAGAGGGGGUAGAAUUUCAGGUGUAGCGGUGAAAUGCG
rnacentral:rRNA from 1 species